rnacentral:rRNA from 1 species
CCCUUAGAUGUUCUGAACCGCACGCGUGUUACACUGAUGCAUUCAACGAGCUUUACCUUGGCCGAGAGGCCUGGGAAAUCUUUUUAGCAUGCAUCGUGAUAGGGAUUGAUUAUUGCAAUUAUUAAUCAUGAACGAGGAAUUCCUAGUAAACGCAUUUCAUCAAAAUGCAUUGAUUACGUCCCUGCCCUUUGUACACACCGCCCGUCGCUCCUACCGAUUGAAUGGUCCGGUGAAGCGUUCGGACCGUGGCCUUUGGACGGUUCGCCGUCUGUUGGCUGCGGGAAGUUCGUUAAACCUUAUCAUUUAGAGGAAGGAGAAGUCGUANCA